rnacentral:rRNA from 1 species
GAUGAACGCUGGCGGCGUGCCUAAUACAUGCAAGUCGAGCGAACAGACGAGGAGCUUGCUCCUCUGACGUUAGCGGCGGACGGGUGAGUAACACGUGGAUAACCUACCUAUAAGACUGGGAUAACUUCGGGAAACCGGAGCUAAUACCGGAUAACAUGUUGAACCGCAUGGUUCAACAGUGAAAGACGGUCUUGCUGUCACUUAUAGAUGGAUCCGCGCCGCAUUAGCUAGUUGGUAAGGUAACGGCUUACCAAGGCAACGAUGCGUAGCCGACCUGAGAGGGUGAUCGGCCACACUGGAACUGAGACACGGUCCAGACUCCUACGGGAGGCAGCAGUAGGGAAUCUUCCGCAAUGGGUGAAAGCCUGACGGAGCAACGCCGCGUGAGUGAAGAAGGUCUUCGGAUCGUAAAACUCUGUUAUUAGGGAAGAACAAAUGUGUAAGUAACUAUGCACGUCUUGACGGUACCUAAUCAGAAAGCCACGGCUAACUACGUG